GACUACGAUUCAUAUGAUCAGGUUUAUGGCUUUGCGUUAGGUUUAUUUGUUACCGUUUUCAAUCUUUCCAACUCCGAAUUCAAAUUCUUUCUAAUUCUAACUGAUCAUCGAAUCGAUUCAACCCUAGUAAGAAACCCACAAUGUCUCAUUGCCUCCAAUCUUUCGUUCGACCCAAUUUCAUCUCUAUUAGCGAAACUGAUUCGUUCUUCCCGAAUCUUGAUUAUUCGAACCCUAAUUUUUUUUUGGAAGAUCAUGUAUCGUCAUUUUCGGGUUUCAUGUUUCUGAACCCUAAAAAUCUUGAUUCGAUUUGAAAGUUAAAUGUAGAAAUCGAAAAGAAUUAAACGACGACGUUGGAUUCACUUCACUCUCAAUCCAAAUUGUAAAGGAACCUGUUGCUCUGAGACUCACAUCCACUGGUAAAGUCACCAGAUACUGGAAGACAUUACCCUUCACAAUGAUAGUAAUUGUUCGUAAAUGGGACCAGCAAAAGGAAUGGCUAGUCAAUGUGUAUGAGGAAGAGAGCCCAUCGGAGGAGAAAUCAGUGUUGAUUGCAAAAAUGAUAUGUUUAGAAACACAUCCAAAACAUCAAUGGAGGAAGCACCAGACAAGCAAGCAGCUAAAGGUUGGUAAUUCUGCAACGUCUAUUGGCACAAACCAGAGAAAAGGAUGUUAUUAUACCUCAUUCCACGAGUUGUAAAACGCAAGGGGAUCAGUGAACAUUCUUUGAAUCAUGACAAGAAACUCGUGGAAAAAAAUUAUGGAGGUUCCGAAGACUUGCUCCUUGGAGAACUGCAGUUUGCAUUAAUUGCCUUUUUGAUGGGUCAGUCGUUAGAAGCAUUUCUCCGGUGGAAAUCCUUGCUUAGCCUUCCGUUUGGCUGCACUGAAGCAGAUUUCUGUAAACUCUAAUUUAGAGAAGAAAGCACCAGAUUAUGUUGCUCAAAAGGCAUAAUCUCAGGAGCCCUUUCUGCACAAGGUACAUCUUAUAUUACAAUGAAGUGAUAAAUGUUAAUGUACAACUCUUCAAAGAAUUUGAGAAAGAUGUUAUUAUGUUUAUUACGUAUCGAGUCUUAUUUGUUGUUCAAAUGUAUAAAUCAGUUGCUAUUUGCUUGAUGGAGGUUGUAACAUAUAAAAAAUAGUAGGAAAUAUUGCUCAUCUAUUGUCAAUACCACUGGAUGUGUUCUUAUUUAGUCGACAGAAACUAUUAGAUGGCUCUUUCACUUUAAUAGUGACUUGUUUUCUGAAUUUGCAUAACAUCUUUCUAUUCAGAGCUUGCCUAACCUAUGUGGGUUUCGAGGUUUUAAACAUAAUUGUUUGAUUGAGACAUGGAUUAUUAACCCAUAUUUAGACUGGUUUGCAUAGGGUAAAUUGACGUAAAGUGCGAAGGUAUAAAGGAGAAAAAGACUUGAGAAGAAGGGGAAGUUCUAGUUGGCGGGUGAUAUAGAAUCUGACUAAGCAAGAGAAGACUCUUAGCUUGCAGAAGGAUAGAAAUUGAGAGAGGCUUGAGAUAGUAAAUAGAGGCUAAACAUCAACAAUACACUGUUUACGUUGAUGGGUGUUAAGAAAAGGCCUAAAUUCACGCCUAAUUUGUUUGAGGCUUUUAUUUAUUUAUUUUUUUAACUACAAUUCAACAAAUGACUAAUUUAUCGCAAAAGGUUCAAUAUGGAAUUAUUGCUGAUCCAAAUGCAAUGGUGGAAGAUUUGGGUGAAUGGAAGGAGGGGCAAUGGCUUUUGGUUCAGAAGUGGCCGAGGGAAUUAAUGCAGUAGGUGUAUGUAUGCCUUUUUUUUC